CAUUGCUUCUAUGACCUGAGGAUGAGUAUGUGGUAAUCCGUCGGGGAUCUGGUCGCAGGUCUGACGAAGACACAGGGCGCGGUUACUAAGGUGGGUGGACUUCAUGUAAUAAUCACUACAAGGAUAGGAUAAGAACAACUGAUUCAUUAUGAAUGACAACACACAAUCUUCGAUGAAUUUUAAUCCGUAUAUGCGAAGCUUAUUUUAUUAAUGAAAAAAUAAUGAACUUUUGUAAUAUAUACAGUGAUUAAAUUUAACAUAAAUUAUAACGUUAAAAAUUUUGGUAUGCAAGUUACGUCAUGGCCACCAAGUUGGAUGAUUUUGGUAAAGCA